UCUAUGCGUGUGCGCGCGUUGGUUUAAAGAAGUCAGCAUUUUAAUUACUCAGUUGUGGGAGGCCAGGUCGGAUCGAAUCAUGUUCGAAAUGGCAUGAGGCUGGAUAAGGCCGAAGUGGUAUGAGGCUGGUUAGGCCGAGUCACAAUGGAGACCCCGUGAAUACUGUAUCUGUACGCCUUAAAUGAGUUAGUUGCGUAUUUUUAAUAGCUUGAGUUUUUGAAAUUAAUGAUUUAACGAUCCGACAUGUGGUUGUGUGUGAGAGAGUAUAGAUAGCUAGCUAAUUAUAGCCAAGUUCUUAGAGAGUUUGUUAUAUAUAAU
rnacentral:lncRNA from 1 species